UAACUAAACAAACUCCGGACAGCAUUUCAGCAGGUUUGCCUGGCCUGAAAAGUCGAUGUCUUGGCAGUUUGGCCAGAUUAUAUUCUAUGCUAACCAUACUUUGCGGCAUUUAAAAGCAGCGGAAAUGCUGAGCAGAUAGUGCGGACUUCCAGUGAAUAAAGUGGCAAUAGUUGUGUUCACAGCAGAAUAAAUAUAGAUCUAUAUCUGGAUGGUUUCAUUUUCGAUUUUCACGCUCGAAAUCAUAAAAUGUUAAAUCAGCACCCAACUGCUGAAAACUGUUUUCGCUUCACAUUCAGAUGUAAUCAGAUUUUGCAGCUACGGCUAGCCAUCCCCACCAAAUAUCGGAUGGAUUGCAUAUUUAUUUCGAAACAUAUUUAAUUUUCUGAUGACCUAGAUAGUGGUUACGUAACGGCACAGGCGAAUAUGGUAUGCUAUAUAGUAUGUAUAUCUUUGUAUCAAUAUAUUUAGCUGGCCAAUUUCUCGUUGGCUUUUUGUUUUGGAUUUGUUUUGUUUUAAGUCACAAUACGGUUGGCUAAUGCAAGCUUAUGUACUUAGUGUAGUUAAAUAUAUAAUGGAAUUCGUACGUGUGCGAUGGUAGUUCAUUCACCAUUUAUUGAGGUCUGUUCGUGUCUCGUGUGAGACCCAGUUUCGAGUGAAGUUUAACUACCCAGACACGUUGAAUGGCUUCUUGGUCCGAACCCCUCUCCCUAUAUGUACAAUCUCAAUCUGCGCCAACGAGGCUUGCCAUCUAAUUCAUAGUUUCAACUGUUACGUUGUUUUUCGAGUUGGUUUUACCUAAUAGUUUUCCUUAUGUACCGCUCAAAUCAAGGCGGAGCUGUGCGUUUUAAAAUGAAAAGAAAACGUAUAAUUUAAUUACAGAGUAUAUAAUAUAAAGUAUGUAUUGUGAGGCCGAUUGCUGUGUGUGUUUUACAUUAAACUCCGAGAAAUUGCCGGCCAGUAAAACUCCCCUACAGCCUCGAAACGCACUGUACCGAUUUGGCGCUGCUCUAAGGCUACUGGUAUAAGCGUUAAUGCUUUUAAUUGUUUUCUGUGUGUGAGUGCUUUUUAGUUGUUUAUUAUUAGAUAUUUUGCGCUAGCUAACUAGUCUUACACGUUGUCAUGUUUGUUUGUCGCUUGGCCAAGUCUAAAGUUUGUAGUUCAAGGUGGCUUUCGUGUUUCGUAGGCCUUUUGAAAGCCAUUUGACCUUCCUCUCCGUUGCCAACUGCCUCGUUCUACUCUCUUGGUAAGUUCCAAGGCGGUCAAGUGUUUUGGCUGCGGCUCGCAAUGAGUUUUUAGCCGCUUCUGGGCCACCCAAAAGCUUUUACAAUGGCGCUAAAGUGGCGGUUUAAGCGGGAUUAUGUGAGCCAUAGGCCAAAUCCCUCUAUAAUAUGGAAUUAGAGAAUUAGAAAUCAAUGACAAAUCGCUUUUGACAUCAUCCAGUCCGAUGACUCAGCGCAAUAGAGCUAAAAUCUACUAGCUAAGCGGCGAUGGAAAAAAUUCGAAAUUCCCAUUUUGUGAGCUUAAUUAUUUAUACUUUAACAGGGUGUUUUUGGGUUUGGCAUUUGCAUUUUUCCGCGCAUUUUGGCUUGUAGUCGUCCUCACACAGGGUGAAGUGAGUGAAGUGGAGAGAGAGGGUUCAAUUAAGUGCCAUUAAUGUGCCUUUUUAAUUAAUCAUUCAUUUUUUAAUUUAUUUAAAGUCGCUGCUCAAAUCCCGUCGUCUAUCUCACUCCGUGUUGCGCAUUCAUACAUACAAAUUAUGAUAAUUAGUUAGUUACAGCUACCGCCUGACAAUUUAAUACAUAUAUUUGCAUUAGUUUUAUUUUCAUCUGCUAUAUUUUUUAAUUAAAUCUUAUUAAUACGAUCGCUGGCGGUCCACCCCAGGUCGUAUCCUACGCCCAAAAUAGCCCCAUUUGGCAUAUAUAUGUAUUUACUUUUACACUUAAAACUAUGGCUGUAGCUAUUACCGCCCUGGCAAGCAAGCAUGAUAAUUACGAAAAGCCUAGAAAAUUUUUAAAUGCCUUUGCUCUGUAUUUUUCUGCUCUUUCUGCGUUUGUCCGCUAAAAAUGUUUUAAUUAUAUCAGAAAUGAUGUAGCGCGCUUGGCAGCAGAUUGAGUUUAAACCAAAAAAAAAUCGAGCAAAACGACGAGACAUAAAACUACGCGAUGACGACAAAACCGGUUGCCUGGGCUUGAAAUCGGAGUCGGGGUCUCCGAAGCGAAGCAUCCGAUGUCUGAAGUCUGGGAGUGGAGUCUCCUCCAUUCUAUCAGCUUUAUGACCAGCCUUAACGAGAAUGUCCUCCGCUCACAUUUUUACAUUUUCUGUUUUUUUUGUGGCUGCCACUAAGCCCCCUGCCACGCUCGUCACGCCCACCAAGGCCCCCGCCCACAGACAAUGUCUGGUUAGACAGCUUCCGACGCUGUGUUUCUGCCUCAAAUUAUUUUAUAUUUAUUUUCGGCGCUUCAGAACCGUCGACGCCGCUUCCACUUGGUAUUUGGUUACCCUGUUUAUGCCCGGCGUGGACUUCGUUUGAUGCGCUUUGCGUCAUUUCAGUUCUAGCAGUACGAGUGGAAUUUAAAAAUAAACCACUCUUGCAACUGGGUGAUUUUGGUUUUUAUGCCUUUGCCUUUUAUUUGCAUGUUUUUCCUCGACCGCUUUGGUUUAUGUAUUACCCUGCUUUUUGUUUGCAUUGUCGGUCCUUAUUGGGCUUAUUUAUCCGUUAAUGACUUUUAAAUGGCGCUCGACUGCAAAAAACACUUCCAAAUAAAGUCAAUUAGAGUGAAAAACCUUUUAGUUAAGCUACCACUUCUGCAUUCAGUCUGCAUUCAGUUAGACUAAGCUGCUAAUCGAAUAUGGACAUCGGAAAUCACGUUUGACAGCGACGAAACAAUUGAGUCACAGCGACCUGCUAACUUCUAGGUGGAAUUCAUUUGGAUUUUUUUUAUAACACUGCAUUUGCGAGUCCAAGUGUCCCUAUAUAAUUAUUGCAUGCAAGGGCAAUACAUAAAGGCCGUAUUACCAAUUUGAAUAGACACAUAUGAAUUAUGCCCAUUUAUAAGCUUGUUAUAGGUGUCGUCCGUCUUUGUUGAAAACAAAGGGAAAUCUAAGCGAUUGGCGGGUACCACAAUUCCUAUAGUAAGAUAAUCCACAAAAAAACCAACCCUCGAAGUAACCACUUGAUAAGUAAGCUUAUUUUCAUUUCAGGGGAAAUGUGUCGAGUAACGAAAGCACUCAAGUCUGGCACUCAAGGAACCGGCCAUUAUCUGCGAUGCCCACACAUGGAACAGUAAUUAAAUCAGAUGCGAGUGCGAAAGUGCAGCUUAGUAAUGCCAGACGAGACGAGAAAAGACGAGACGAGCAGAGCGGUACCUGGCCAACGCGGCAACGGGGCGAAUUGGUGACGACAAUGGCGAUGACCUCGCAUUCGAAUUGGGUCGGUGGGGUGGAGAGGUUAGAGCGGCCAUCACUCUCCCGCAUCACAGCCACAUGCAAAUGGCCCCAGCAGCUGAUAGUUGAUUGCUCAAACGAAAUGAAAACAAACAACCGACGCUGUCAGCUGGAGAAGCGGUCUCUAAUAUAUUUUAAUUACACUUGUGUGAAUGCCGCCGGUGGCAAUUAAAAUAUUUUCCGUCUCUAAUCUACGACCAAUUUAAUAUGAAUUGAAUAAACGAAUAGAUGAAUCACGCGGAGAGUGCGGUGCCAUUCAGGAAGCGAUGCCUUGUUCAGAUUACGCGUGCAAACGAGAUUACUUUCUACGGAAAGUGCUGAUAGACGGGUGAUGUCUAAGGUUUCUUGUAACAGAUGCUGUUGGAUGGGCUACGAAGAAGGAUGGAGAAAUUGAAAUAUAACUACAAAGUGGUGCGCCCCUAUAAAAUAAAAAAAAUGGUCCUAGAAAACCAAAGGAAAUGGCUCGUAACUUGGGCGAGGUAUGAAUUAACAUGUGGUCUGGCUAUUUAUCCAAUGGUUUCGUCGUGCUCCGAUUGGGUCUGACGUCUCUCUAUGUUGAAUCUCGAGUGGAUUGCAACCGCAUGGUCGUGGAGUAGAGUAAGACAUGUUUGGAUGUAGGGCAGCCAAAAGCGGUAAGAUGAGUCAGUGCUGGUCCCCCGGCAGAUGAACCAAGAACCGGAACCAAGAAACGGAGUGCAAUCAAUAUAGAAAUUAAGGUAAAACCAAUUCAGCUAAUAGCAUCUCGCGUUUCCUGGCAACUCGAACCCAUUAGAGUUUUUUGGUUUUCUUUGCGUUUUUACCUCGCAACAAAGACAAAACGUGGAGCCGUAAGCACUGAUUUGUGGGGGGAAAGGCGGGGAAAUUUAACCAGAGCCACAGCAAAGGCAGUUUGAUUAUACCGCUGUAAUAAAUGAAUCUGGAGAAUGGUGGUGGCUGAAACAAAGUACUGUGGAUUUUAAAGGCUCUGCUGAUGGCGAAAACAAGAAUUUCCCAGCUCAUACCGUAGCCUCCUAUUGAAGACAAAGGCGAUCAAGCGCAAUAAACCGGCGUCGUGGAAUAACUAUAAAGUGGAAAAGAUCAUUUUCGAUUGCGAAUCGUGUUGCCAGAUUUUGUCCUUCGGCAGCUGCCUUAAAUACAUUAAUAUAUUGAAAGUUAUCACACAUA
rnacentral:sRNA from 1 species